rnacentral:lncRNA from 1 species
AAAUGUUGAAAAGCAUUCUGCGUUGACUUGACAUACACUUACUUUGUCCCAGGCAUUAUCCUAGGGCUUCAUGUGUAUCAACUCAUUUAAACGAAGAACAGUAAUGCCAGGUGGGUAUGAUUUUUAUCUGCAUUUUACACAAGAGCAAUGAAGCACAAAGAAGUUAAAUAAUACCAUCAAGGUCGUACAGCUAACACUUGAUCAAACAGGGGUUUGAAUCUAGCCAGCCACAGGCUCCAGAGCUGGUGUUUUAACUGCUCAGCUACAUGACAAAGGCUGCCUGGUUUUCUUAAAGCAGUGACAGUCCUUCCCUCCCCCCACCCCACACACAUGUUGUUUGGGUCCUUCCCUCUCACGUCUGUUUGAGAUUGGAGUGCGUGACCAUCAAGAUGGGAGGAAAGUGAAAGAAAAUUCUGGAACUAGGAGCACUUCUCAGACUGGCUAUAACAGUGAGAACCUAAGGGAGAAGGAGGUACUUGACCAGAGAGAUGAACAAGGAAGCUUCCCCUUUCUAUCUCAGCUUAGGUCUGACCUGCCACCCGCACCCCAGGGAUUAUGUGCUGAGCCCUUCAGUUCCAGGAUGCGUUUACGAUUUCCUAUCUGCUCCAAUAUAAAAUCUCUGAGACCAGUUUUACUCAGAGCUUCAUGGACAUUUUAGUUAUGCAAUAUAUGAGGUCUGAAUAUUGUCACACAUCCAAAUAGAACUUAAUUGUUAAGCUUUGCAGUCUCACAUAUACUCAAUAUCUAAUAUUUACGAAUAAAUACAACCCCCUUCUCCCAAAGUAGGCAUAAUUGCAGAAAUAAAGGUGCUGAACUGUUCUUCAGGAAGGUCUUGGCAGUUUUCGAAUAUUCCUUAGCAACAGUAUUCCACAUUAACCUUCAAGCAAAUGACAUUGAACUGCUACCAAACUUUUGUGUCGUGUUACACAGAAGUAUGACUCUGAGUGGUGGAUUCUUGUAACUUUCUCUAAAUGGAUUACUCCCAUCAGGAGAAGCAUUAUGUGUUAGAGGUGACUACUGAUUGAGCUAGCAGGAGAUACGUCUUUAGGAGGAAAAGCAACUUGAAAUUUUUUUAUAAGGUUGACUUUAUCCCAUUGAAAGUGAUGGUAUAUGAAAUGAAAAUAUCUUUUAAAAAAUGAAUUGUAUGUAGAAUACAGUAUAUGUUCUCCCAUGCAUCUAUUUCUUUUUGCAGGUAAGAGCACUAUUCACCAAAUAAUGUUUUCAGUUAAUGUUUUGUAUUAAGCAGAUGUAAUUUCUAGAAUAAUAACAUUUGUGACCAACACCACCCUCACCAUUGGGCAUGCCUUUGCUGGAACUCCCUUUGCACGGGGACAGAAGGUUUGGCUAUAAAUGUGUAUGGUGGUAAAUGUGAAUUUAUCGUAUGGAGGAAGCAUGUCAAUGAAGAGGAAGAUGAGGCCACUCAAGGCCAGUGUGCAACGGUGGAGGGGAGAUCAGCAAGUAACAAACAAAAGCCAGGUUCUGCCAGAGGGCCGGGAUGAAGGCGGUUAGAUAACGAAAUAGCUUCUGGAGAUUUCUCUAAGUGAGGAUUACGGAAACUUAUUGAUGGGUGAUCGAAGUUUUCUCCCAUUCUCUUUUCAUUUCAAGCAAAGAUUAACAUUUUCCCUUAUAAGAAGCCUUAGUUUCUAGACAACGAUAAUUUUCACACCAUGAAAAACUUAAAGCCUUCUAACUCAGCUACUUAAAUAUUACAAGAUUCUGUUCACUGGUAUCAUCUGCUUUCAGAUGAUUUUGCUAUAGUUAUUAUGUUUUAGAGAGCACUUUCUUAUGUUUUAGGAGAAGAUGGCCUCUAGUGCUAUUCAUUUCCGACGGUGCGCCAUCCCAAACCCUGGAAACAGAAGGCAGGCCAGCACGCGCCGGCCGUUGUCGCCCAUUCGCCGUCCAUUCUCAGGCUUCUUCCCGAGGGCGGAGCCGGCCUGGCCUCUGGGCCUCGGCUCCGGAAAGGAGGGCCUCUGCAGCCCUAGGCAGUUUUCGUUCCUGAUUAUGUUGAAUUUCUAUCAGUUUUUAUAGCAAAAAGGCCAUUGACAUGAAGCCCCUGUGUGUUAUUUUUCUGAGACUAAAACACCUAAACCAGUCCUUCCUCAGAAACGUAGCGUGUCUUCUGGAAAGCAGACGCCUCCGCGACGUCCAGCUUCCCUACUUGCGUGAGGCUGGGUAUGAUGCUUCAGUGUAAAUCUACGUGGAAUUAAUGUAUUUAGAAUUAAUAAUAUACACAUAAAAGAAAAUUUAAAAAGAAAUACAGGACUGUAAAUAAAGCCUGUUGUCUU